UCUCCGUCCUUCGCGGACACUACCUCCGUC
rnacentral:sRNA from 1 species